rnacentral:rRNA from 1 species
CAAACUGGGAUUAGAUACCCCACUAUGCCUAGCCCUAAAUCUUGAUACUUCCCCCACCAAAGUAUUCGCCCGAGAACUACGAGCACAAACGCUUAAAACUCUAAGGACUUGGCGGUGCCCCAAACCCACCUAGAGGAGCCUGUUCU